CAGCCCGACGCAUUCUUUCAUUCGCUUGCACGGAAAAAAGAUGGGAGGUCGCGGCAGCGUUGCGCACCCUCUCCACCAUUGGUUAUGCCUGCAGUUAUCGGCAGCGCGUUCUUCUGCGUCGGCGGCAGUCCCUGACGGCGCUGAGCAACGGCAGCGGUGCCCGCUUCCUUCGGCGGCGUGUGAAGCAGCAGGCUGUGUGCCACUCGAUCCUUGAAGCGAGCGGAGCAGUUGCGGCGCCCAGUCCCAUACUUUUCCCUGGGAGCACACCCAUGGGUUCUCGAUUCGCGACUGGUCAAUCUCCAGUUGUUGUCCAUGAGAAGGGGAAGGUUAAGAAGUUGAAGGUUGUCAAGACCAGAAGAAAUUAUGAACUUGUAAUGUGUGAUUUACUAGCACACAUAGCCAGCUGAAACCUGUUUCUGGACCUUUUGUUUUAUUUAGCUCAAUCAUGGCAUGAAUGCCGAAGUCUGUAGCUGAAACAUGCUCUUGUAUUUGUGAAUUGAAUGGCAGGGGCAUACUUGUCCAGUAAUAUGUGUUAUUGAUCUGUUUGGGUGUGAAAUAUUAUUAUAAGGGCUAUAGUGUUUUGUAGCAAAUUGGAACAUAUUUGUAGUGUCCUCUGGCAAAGCCAGUUUUUCUUAAUGGUAUUUGGCAAAAGCCGAACUUGAA